GGCGGCGGCGGCGGGGCGGGGGCGGGGGCGCGCGGGCCGGGACGCGGCGGGAGCAUGGAGCCGCGGGCCGGCUGCCGGCUGCCGGUGCGGGUGGAGCAGGUCGUCAACGGCGCGCUGCUGGUCACCGUGAGCUGCGGCGGGCGCAGCUUCGCCGGGAUCCUGCUGGACUGCACGAAAAAGUCCGGCCUCUUUGGCCUGCCCCCGUCGGCUCCGCUGCCACAGCCCGAGGACCCCCCUGUCAACGGCUGCAACAGCCCGGCCCCCCCAGAGCAGGACGGAGAGGCAAUGCAGCUGGGGACGGGCCCUCCGCCAGCGCCCUGCGGGGACCCGGCUCCCGAGACCUCGGGCCCCAAGCCACCCCCGCCUCUCGUGCCGCCGUUCCCGCCGUACUUUGAGGGAGCCCCCUUCCCUCCCCCACUCUGGCUGAGAAGCACCUACCGGCAGUGGGUCCCGCAGCCGCCGCCCCGGGCCAUCAAGAGGACCCGCCGGCGCCUGUCCCGGAACCGAGAGCCCGGCCGGCUGGCCCUGAGCCCCAUCCGUCUGCGGCCACGCCAAGUGCUCUGCGAGAAGUGCAAAAGCACCCUGAGCCCCCCCGAGGCCGGCCCCGGCCCCCCAGCUGCCCCUCAGCCGCGCCGCAGGGCGGGCAGCGUCCCCGGCCCCGACACAGAACCCCGCAAGCUCGCGGACCCUGAGGGCGGAGGGGACAGCGCGGCCAGCGCCACGAGGAGGAGCAAGAGAGAGAAGCGGCAGGAGGGCAAGGCCCGGGUGCCCCGGAGCCCGGCCAUCAAGAUCUCCUACAGCACGCCGCAGGGCACGGGCGAGGUGGUGGAGAUCCCCUCUCGCGUGCACGGGUCCCUGGAGCCCUUCUGCCCCUCUCAGGCACACGGGGGCGGCCAGGACCCCGCUGGGCCCCCCGCCUCCAUCCCCAAGCUAAAGCUGACGCGUCCCGGGCCCCCUGGCACCGGCCUGCCGCCCCCCAAGAUCCGCUUGAAGCCCCGGCCCCGGGGGGCUGGGGAGCGGGAGCCCGUGUACCGGGCCGAGCUGGUGGAGGCGCUUAACGGCCACGGGCGGGGCCCCCGGGCCGGCUCCCCCGCUCGCCUCGGCCACGGCUCUGCCGGCCGUGGGCCCGUGGCCUCGUCUUCCGGAAGCUCUGACGAGGACGAGGACUUCAAGCCGUGCGCCCAGGCUCAGCGCGGGCGAGAGGGCCUGGCUUUCCUUGCCACCUGCCCCGAGAGGGGGCCAGGGUGCGCCGGCGAGUCGGUGUGGAGCAGCGACAGUCCGGACGAGUCCAGAUCGUCCAGCUCGGAAGUCACGUUCCCAGACACGUGUGACCUCUCGUCGGGCGACGGCGCGUCGGUGCGGUCCUCGUCCAAGCACGCGAGGCCGACGGUCCCGCCGCUCACGGUCCGGCUGCACACACAGAGCGUCUCCACGUGCGUUACCGGGGACGGAAGGACGGUGGCCGUGGGGGACAUCGUGUGGGGUAAGAUUCACGGUUUCCCCUGGUGGCCAGCGCGCGUGCUCGACCUCAGUCUCAGCCAGAAGGAGGACGGGGCGCCCUCCUGGCCAGAAGCCAAGGUCUCGUGGUUUGGGUCCCCGACGACGUCGUUCUUGUCGACUUCGAAGCUCUCCCCGUUCUCGGAGUGUUUCAAACUGCGGUUUAACCGUAAGAAGAAGGGAAUGUACCGGAAGGCCAUCACGGAGGCCGCCAACGCCGCGCAGCACGUGGCCCCGGAAAUAAGGGAGCUCUUGACCCAGUUUGAGACCUAGGCCGGGCGACCAGGAACGUGCUGAGAAGGGACGAGGGCCCCCCAGCGAGCAUCUGGCGAGGAAGCUGACCUGGACUGGGGAUCCGGGAAGGCUUCCUGGAAGAGGUGACAUAUGGCUGAGCGCGAACGGUCACGGACAAUGAAAGCACAGCCGGGCUGUCUGGAACUUCCGACCUUGGGGCGCCCUCCACGUCCCCCAUUCCGUCUGAGGGACCCGCGUGCCUUCUGGCCAGCUGCGUGCGGAAACGUGCCCGGCCCGGGGGUCCGCCUGCCCGCGGUUCCCCAGAGAGAAGCAGGCGUGUCCCGCACAGGGGACGGCGCCCCCGGGCACAGGCUCCUCUGUGGAUGUAUUUGUUCCCUCGUCAGACUCCGGGUGUUCUGGGCUGUGACGUUCCGGGAGCCCAGCCACAGCCUACUGCUGCCCGUGGAGCGGGGAGAGGCACCCCAGUGUCAGGGCUCAGGGCCGGGCCCAGCGCGGGGUCUCUGCGUCCUUGAGAACCGGGCAGCCUGCCUCCCGUACGUCCCUCCCAAAGCUGGGGUCCUGCCCUGUGCCCAGCACCUGCCCCGGGGCCGCGACCUGGCCCGCGUGUGUACGAACAGGCUCCUCCCUCCUUUCUGUCACUUUAAAGACCAAAAACAGAAACCGAAAAUGGCUUCUGCUCUUUGUUGAAACGUGAGCGAGAAUAAAGGAAGGUCUGCGCA